rnacentral:misc_RNA from 1 species
GGGGACUUCAGUAAAGCUGAAAGGAUUUUAGGCUACAUGAAUAAGAAGGGCUAUCCUGCCAAUGUGAUAUCACACACUGCUCUGAUGGAGGCAUAUGGAAAAGGAGGUCAGUAUGCCAAGGCAGAAGCGAUAUUUCGGAGAAUGCAAACUUCAGGCCCUGAGCCUUCUGCUAUUACAUACCAAAUCAUUCUCAAAAUCUUUGUUGAGGGUGACAAGUUUAAUGAAGCUCAAGAUGUCUUUGAAGCCCUUAUGGAUAUGGAUGCACCUCCUCUAAA